UACAGAGGUCCCAAGCGUUGUUCGGAUUCACUGGGCGUAAAGGGUGCGUAGGUGGUUAGGUACGUCCGAUGUGAAAUCUCCAGGCUCAACCUGGAAAUGGCAUUGGAUACUAUUUAGCUUGAGGAGUGGAGGGGGGACUGGAAUUCUCGGUGUAGCAGUGAAAUGCGUAGAUAUCGAGAGGAACACCAGUGGCGAAGGCGAGUCCCUGGACACUUCCUGACACUGAGGCACGAAAGCUAGGGGAGCAAACAGG
rnacentral:rRNA from 1 species